rnacentral:rRNA from 1 species
CCUUCGGGUUGUAAAGUACUUUCAGCGGGGAGGAAGGGAGUAAAGUUAAUACCUUUGCUCAUUGACGUUACCCGCAGAAGAAGCACCGGCUAACUCCGUGCCAGCAGCCGCGGUAAUACGGAGGGUGCAAGCGUUAAUCGGAAUUACUGGGCGUAAAGCGCACGCAGGCGGUUUGUUAAGUCAGAUGUGAAAUCCCCGGGCUCAACCUGGGAACUGCAUCUGAUACUGGCAAGCUUGAGUCUCGUAGAGGGGGGUAGAAUUCCAGGUGUAGCGGUGAAAUGCGUAGAGAUCUGGAGGAAUACCGGUGGCGAAGGCGGCCCCCUGGACGAAGACUGACGCUCAGGUGCGAAAGCGUGGGGAGCAAACAGGAUU